rnacentral:rRNA from 1 species
AACGAACGCUGGCGGCAUGCCUAACACAUGCAAGUCGAACGAGACCUUCGGGUCUAGUGGCGCACGGGUGCGUAACGCGUGGGAACCUGCCCUUAGGUUCGGAAUAACUCCCCGAAAGGGGUGCUAAUACCGGAUAAUGUCUUCGGACCAAAGAUUUAUCGCCUUUGGAUGGGCCCGCGUUGGAUUAGCUAGUUGGUAGGGUAAAAGCCUACCACGGCGACGAUCCAUAGCUGGUCUGAGAGGAUGAUCAGCCACACUGGGACUGAGACACGGCCCAGACUCCUACGGGAGGCAGCAGUGGGGAAUAUUGGACAAUGGGCGAAAGCCUGAUCCAGCAAUGCCGCGUAAGUGAUGAAGGCCUUAGGGUUGUAAAGCUCUUUUACCCGGGAUGAUAAUGACAGUACCGGGAGAAUAAGCACCGGCUAACUCCGUG